UCUUCCUACGUGGACUCUCUAUUCUUCUUUUAUCCCUAUUUCAGACGCCGACAAAUUCUCAAAUAAAAUACCUAUCGAAAGCCAAGUAAAAAAAAAAAAACACUAAAUACAGAAAACGAAACGUCUUCUACCUAUCAUGUCAUCGUCGGUUCACUGAUUCUCUCUCUAUGUUAAAAAAAAAAAAACACUAAAUACAGAAAACGAAACGUCUUCUACCUAUCAUGUCAUCGUCGGUUCACUGAUUCUCUCUCUAUGUUAUUAUUCUCAAACAUGGCCUCCGACAAUUUGAUCAACAACAACGCUGUCUUGAAAAAGCUUAAAGCCAAUGAGGACUGCCGACGCAUUCGAUUUUGGUACAGAUGGCUGGCGUGCUCCUCAAUUUCGCGUGAUUCAUAGCUUGGUUGCGAUCAGCCUGCUCAGAUGGUUGGCGUGCUCCUCAAUUUGGUGGGGGAUGGAGUCUUUGAUUUGCUGUGGGGGAUGGAGUCUUCGAUUUGUUGUGGGUGUUUGGCCUGAUUCAUAGCAUGGUUACGAUCGUUCGGCUCAGAAUGCAGUGGCCUAUGAUGGAAGAAACCACCGCGCACUUGGUGAUAUCGAUAAUCUUCUUUGAAGUAGUUAAAUCUAGAGUUUUUAACAGAUUAUUUGAAUUCUGUGGGUAUUUAGGGUUGCUGCCACUCACUUUCCUUAGUUUUCUUGUCUCUCUUCGUGUGAUGGAUUUAAUUUUACAAUUAAGCAAAUAAUCUUUUAUUUUGCAGAUAUGGAUUAGCUCAACAACCUAUUGUACAACAAUAGUUAUAAUUAAACAUCGCAAUGCUGUGUAUAUAGCCCUUUUUUUGGUUGCAUGGCUAUUUUUUUUUUUUUGAAAAAAUUAAAUUUGUUGAGAAAAGCGGUAGAUAUGUUUUAAUUUUGAAGAAAUUUUUAUUUUUCAGGAUGGGGUUAGGCUGUCAGAUCAGAGUGUGUUUGAUCUUGGCUAAAGCCAUUAUAUCAAAUGCUACUACCCUUUCAUUCAUGCCUCUUCGACGAUACAUUUUUUUUAUCCGAGCAAGGGGAUUAAAAACUAGGUCAACAAUGAAUUGUAGAUGGCCAGACGGUCAUGCGUCAUGACUCAUGCCAAUGGUGCUUCACUCUUGCUUUCUGGGAAAGUUCUAGAUAUGGAUUAGUUAAACAAGCUAUUGUACAACAAUAGUUAUAAUUAAGCAUGGCUGUAGGAGUGAAGCUGUCAGAUGGAAGGGAGUUCUUGACCAAAACCAUAAUAUCAAAUGUUACUAGAUUGGCUACCUUUGGUUAGUUGAGGAUGCUUUUUAAAGCUUUUUUUGUUUAUUUAACAUUUUAUCUAAACAAGUUCAACAAUGCUUUGUUUGUGCUACAAGAAAGAUUAAUUUCAAGAGUAUGUUAAGGCCCCAUCCUUUCUUUCUACUCACAUUUGUGUUAAAGCUGAUGUUUUGGCUCCAGCUACAGGUUGUCACCAUUUUCUCUGGAGCUUAUUUGGCCUUUGAUGGUUUAGGUUCGAGCAACUGGAGGUGCCUGACAUAAGGUCCUUUUUUACCAUGAUAGUUGCCUCAAUCUCGGAUAUAAAUUUUUCCAAGAAUGGAAGACAUAUAUUUAGUCAUGACUAUCAAGGUUCUACUGGUAGAGGAACAUAAUACCCUUGCAGCAAGUCCAUCCAAUCCACCGGAAUUAUAUGGUAAUGCCUCCUUUUGUCUAAGUUAAUUGUUAUGAUAUUUCGAGGGAUUAUAUCGUCCCUACACGAGCCCUAAUGUUCAGAAUUAUUUUGAUAUUCUGGUAUAGUAGGUUUGUUUUA